rnacentral:rRNA from 1 species
CGGCGGACGGGUGAGUAACGUGUGGGCAACCUGGCCCUGUACUGUGGAAUAAUCACUGGAAACGGUGACUAAUACCGCAUGUCAUCACGAGGAGGCAUCUCCUUGUGAGAAAAGGAUUUAUUCGGUACAGGAUGGGCCCGCAUCUGAUUAGCUAGUUGGUGAGAUAACAGCCCACCAAGGCAACGAUCAGUAGCCGACCUGAGAGGGUGAUCGGCCACAUUGGGACUGAGACACGGCCCAAACUCCUACGGGAGGCAGCAGUGGGGAAUAUUGCACAAUGGGCGAAAGCCUGAUGCAGCAACGCCGCGUGAAGGAUGAAGGGUUUCGGCUCGUAAACUUCUAUCAAUAGGGACGAAAAAAAUGACGGUACCUAAAUAAGAAGCCCCGGCUAACUACNGUGCCAGCAGCCGCGGUAAUACGUAGGGGGCAAGCGUUAUCCGGAAUUACCUGGGUGUAAAGGGAGAGUAGGCGGCAUGGUAAGUUAGAUGUGAAAGCCCGGGGCUUAACCUCGGGAUUGCAUUUAAAACUAUCAAGCUAGAGUACAGGAGAGGUAAGUGGAAUUCCUAGUGUAGCGGUGAAAUGCGUAGAUAUUAGGAAGAACAUCAGUGGCGAAGGCGACUUACUGGACUGAAACUGACGCUGAGGCUCGAAAGCGUGGGGAGCGAACAGGAUUAGAUACCCUGGUAGUCCACGCCGUAAACGAUGAGUUGCUAGGUGUCGGGGGGGAACCCUCGGUGCCGCAGCUAACGCAAUAAGCACUCCACCUGGGGAAGUACGACCGCAAGGUUGAAACUCAAAGGAAUUGACGGGGGCCCGCACAAGCGGUGGAGCAUGUGGUUUAAUUCGAAGCAACGCGAAGAACCUUACCAAGGCUUGACAUCCCUCUGAUCGGUGUAGAGAUACACCUUCUCUUCGGAGCAGAGGUGACAGGUGGUGCAUGGUUGUCGUCAGCUCGUGUCG